AUGUCCGGGCACCAGAAGGGCGGCGACAUCGAGGCGGGGACCUCCGGUGGCACUGCCACGGCACCGGCGCAGGUGCUGUACCCCGGGAUGGCGGAGAGCCCCGAGCUGCGCUGGGCGCUCAUCCGGAAGAUCUACGUCAUCCUCUCCCUGCAGCUUCUCCUCACCGCCGUCGUCGCGGCCGUCGUCGUCAAGGUCCGCGCCAUCCCCCACUUCUUCGUCUCUUCCUACGCCGGCCUUGGGGUCUACAUCUUCAUCCUCAUCUUCCCCUUCAUCGUGCUUUGCCCGUUGUACUGCUACCGUCAGAAGCACCCAGUCAACCUGCUGCUGCUCGGCGUCUUCACAGUGGCCAUCAGCUUCGCUGUGGGCAUGACAUGUGCCUUUACUAGCGAUUUACAUGAUAUGAGAUGUCUCACUGCUUACACCUUCUGGGCUGCAAAGAGGGGCAAGGACUUCAGAUUCCUUGGUCCUUUCCUAUUUGCUUCUCUCAUCAUGUUGCUCGUCUUUGGGUUCAUUCAGAUCCUUUUCCCGCUGGGCAAGCUCUCUCACAUGAUCUGUGGCGCGCUGGCGGCACUCAUCUUCAGUGGCUACAUUGUCUAUGACACGGACGACAUCAUCAAGCGUUACACGUAUGACGAGUAUGUCUGGGCCGCCGUCUCGCUCUACCUUGACAUCAUCAAUCUGUUCACGGCCCUGCUGACCCUGUUUAGCGCGGGUGACAGCUGA
rnacentral:rRNA from 1 species